rnacentral:lncRNA from 1 species
UUAGAUUUCUUAGUUUCAUUUUAUUGUUUUCUAGUUUUGUUUGUUUGCUCGACACUAAUUGACAACCUAGUAAUACCCUACUAGCUUGUAAGUUAGUUUUGUGUACGUUCUUCGUGUUAACGUUGUUUGUUUGUGUGCUUUUGUCGUUUGAAUACGUUGUAACUCUUGGCUCUAGUCUGACGAGAAUUCUUUAGGUUUUAAAUAAGAAUCCAUUCCGGGAAAGAGCAUACUCAUA